ACGUUGGUAGUAUAAAGUGAGUAUGUCGUCUUUCCAAGUCGAAGGUCUAAUGAAUUUAGCUAUCGUA
rnacentral:tRNA from 1 species